UACUUUGUAGCUCAUUCGGGUAGAGCAACUGGCAUAUAACCAGUGGGUAGUCGGUUCGAUUCCGACCUUAGUAGCCA
rnacentral:tRNA from 1 species